UGAUAGCCCCGUAUUUGAAAAUUAACUAUCUCGUUUGAUUAUACUCCCAAGUAGGGCGGAACACGAGAAAUUCUGUCCGAAUCUGUCAGGACCACCUGAUAAGACUAAAUACUCUCAUAUGACCGAUAGUGAAGAGUACCGUGAGGGAAAGGUGAAAAGUACCCCGAGAGGGGAGUGAAAUAGAACCUGAAACCGUGUGCCUACAAGCGGUCGGAGUCUCUUCUGAGAUGACGGCGUGCCUUUUGCAUAAUGAGCCAGCAAGUUACUCAUACGUUGCAAGGUUAAGUUUAAAUUACGGAGCCGUAGGGAAACCAAGUCUGAAUAGGGCGAUUAAGUAACGUGUGGUAGACGCGAAACCAGGUGAUCUUACCAUGGGCAGGUUGAAGCCUCAGUAAAAUGAGGUGGAGGACCGAACCGACUUGGGUUGAAAACCGAGCGGAUGACCUGUGGUAAGGGGUGAAAGGCUAAUCAAACCUGGUGAUAGCUCGUUCUCCUCGAAAUAUUUUUAGGAAUAGCGUUGUAUUAUAGUAUCAUGGAGGUAGAGCACUGAUUGGGCUAGGGCGCAAUACCCGCGUACCAAACCCAUUUAAACUCCGAAUGCCAUAGAUAUGUUCUACAGCAGUCAGGCAGUGUGAGAUAAGUUUCAUUGCCAAGAGGGAAACAACCCAGACCAACAGCUAAGGCCCCAAAAUUCAUACUCAGUGACAAAGGAUGUGAAUUAGCUAAGACAGCUAGGAGGUUGGCUUAGAAGCAGCCAUCCUUUAAAGAAAGCGUAAUAGCUCACUAGUCAAGGUAAUUUGCGCCGAUAAUAACCGGGACUUAAGUAUGAUGCCGAAGCUUUGGUUCUUACGCUUGCGUAAGAAGGUAGAGGAGCGUUCCAUUAACCUGCGAAGGUUGCUCGUGAGAGUAGCUGGAGGAGAUGGAAAUGAGGAUGCUGGCAUGAGUACGCGAGAAAACACGUGAAAUUCGUGUUCACCAUAAGCCUAAGGUUUCCUGAUCAACGCAAAUCGGAUCAGGGUUAGUCGGCCCCUAAGACGAGGCCGAAAGGCGUAGUCGAUGGGAAUCAGGCAAAUUUUAAUAUUCCUGAACCACCGAAACUUAACCCGGGAGCACCAUUGCCCAGAUGUGUUGACCUUAUUGAUUUGGUUAACAUAAGCAAGCAGUGGCAAGAAAAAACCCGGUGUAUGCUAAGGUGACCGUACCGUAAACCGACACAGGUAGGCGAGGAGAGUAUCCUAAGGUGCUUGAGAGAACAAUGGUCAAGGAACUCGGCAAAUUGACUCCGUAACUUCGGGAGAAGGAGUUCCCGAUCUUUGAUUGGGACGCAGUGAAAAGGGGGGAGCGACUGUUUACUAAAAACACAGGUCCAUGCUAACACGUAAGUGGACAUAUAUGGACUGACACCUGCCCGGUGCCGGAAGGUUAAGAGGAUUUGUUAUUCUGACUUGUCAGAAGAAGCUCAGAAUUGAAGCCCCGGUAAACGGCGGCCGUAACUAUAACGGUCCUAAGGUAGCGAAAUUCCUUGUCGGGUAAGUUCCGACCUGCACGAAUGGUGCAACGACUUCCCCACUGUCUCGACCAUUGACUCAGCGAAAUUGUAGUAUCGGUGAAGAUGCCGGUUACUUAUAGAAGGACGGAAAGACCCCGUGAACCUUUACUAUAGCUUGAUAUU
rnacentral:rRNA from 1 species